CAGGAGUAGAGGGAAUGAGAGAAUGUGCAUAGAGGUGUUUGCUUCCCAUCCCAGAAGGCUGUUGAAAGGGGAGGUGGAAAUAAUGGAUACAUGUGGAGGCACUGGAGAAGAAGUGCAAGGCCUAACGUCUGGGCGGCUUAUGUGCCCCAUGGAGGAAAUACCAGAAGCAGGUAGACCGAUUUACAACAGCUUUUAUGUUUAUUGCAAAGACCCCUGUCGAGCAGUUCAGCCAGGAAAACUCAGGGUACAGUGCAGCACCUGCAAACAAACAACAUUCACCUUGGCCCAGGUAAGGAAUCGCAGCAUCAGCCUGAGACUGCUGAGAAAGAUGAAUGUGUCUCCGGAGUUGCCUUUUGGUGAAUCUAUAUCAUACGCCACUGAUAAUCAGAAAUCUUCUGUGUGAUUGUGAGAG
rnacentral:lncRNA from 1 species